rnacentral:tRNA from 1 species
GGGGACGUAGCUCAGCUGGGAGAGCAAUAGCUUUGCAAGCUAUAGGUCGUGGGUUCGAACCCCAUCGUCUCCACCA